ACAUGCAAGUCGAACGAAGUAGCAAUACUUAGUGGCAGACGGGUGAGUAACAUGUGGGUAUCUGCCCUUUGGCCUGGAAUAACACGAGGAAACUUGUGCUAAUACCGGAUAAGUCUUUACAGAGAAAGCUUUAUGCACCAUUGGAUGAGCCCGCACUUGAUUAGUUUGUUGGUGGGGUAAUGGCCUACCAAGACUUUGAUCAAUAGCUGAUUUGAGAGGAUGAUCAGCCACAUUGGGACUGAGACACGGCCCAAACUCCUACGGGAGGCAGCAGUGGGGAAUCUUGCACAAUGGAGGAAACUCUGAUGCAGCGAUGCCGCGUGAGUGAAGAAGGCCCUUGGGUUGUAAAGCUCUUUCGUCGGGGAAGAAAAUGACUGUACCCGAAUAAGAAGGUCCGGCUAACUUCGUGCCAGCAGCCGCGGUAAUACGAAGGGACCUAGCGUAGUUCGGAAUUACUGGGCUUAAAGAGUUCGUAGGUGGUUGAAAAAGUUGGUGGUGAAAUCCCAGAGCUUAACUCUGGAACUGCCAUCAAAACUUUUCAGCUAGAGUUUGAUAGAGGAAAGCAGAAUUUCUAGUGUAGAGGUGAAAUUCGUAGAUAUUAGAAAGAAUACCAAUUGCGAAGGCAGCUUUCUGGAUCAUUACUGACACUGAGGAACGAAAGCAUGGGUAGCGAAGAGGAUUAGAUACCCUCGUAGUCCAUGCCGUAAACGAUGUGUGUUAGACGUUGGAAAUUUAUUUUCAGUGUCGCAGCGAAAGCGAUAAACACACCGCCUGGGGAGUACGACCGC
rnacentral:rRNA from 1 species